rnacentral:lncRNA from 1 species
CAGAGCAUGGCUGCUUCCUGAGAAGAAGAAUGGUCUCCCUGCACACCUGCAUCAGCACUGUCCUCCAUCUCCCUCGCCACGAAGAUGACACAGACCGGGAUGCUGCAUCCUGCAUGGAGACCAUGGAAGCCCUGCACCGCCUGCUGCAGGGGCUGGUGGGCAGCCCUGGCACCACUGUCCUCAUGGAGCUGCAGAACAUCUUGGAGCUCCUGCUGCCCUUCACCAUGUGCCAGCUGGUGGCUGUGGAGGAGAGGGCCGCAGCGUGCAUUGGCAGGCUGCUCGCCUUCACCAACACCUGCUCCUUGCCAGAGCUGUGCUCCUGCUUCAUGGGAACCGCCAUCUUCCAGCACAAGUGCCAGGAGAACCAAUGCUUCCCUGUGCUGGGGAAGCUGGCCGGACACCUCAUCCUGUGCUGCACCUCCACGGAUGAGAGGACCAGAGAUGAGGCGAUGAAGGCUGUCUGUCAGCUUUUCACCUUCAUCACCACCCCAAGACUGUCGCUGGAGAAGGAGCCCAAGGUACCACAGCUCUGGGAGAGCCAGCUAGCUUUGCUCCACCAGGAGGCUUCCCGUGAGAACAGAGCCACUAAUAUCUUCCAGGUCCUUCUGAAAUACCUCCUGUACCCUGAAAGGGUGAAUGUCUUACUCAUGACCAUUGAGAAUAUGACAGCGCCGAGCCUCCACAGCACCGAUCUGGCUGCCCACAUGAUAGAUUUGCUCGCAGCAGAGGCUCACUUCCCUCCACAGCAGGUGCGAAAGAUCAUGAAGACCAUCCACAACAGCCUGCCUUCCAUCAAAGACAAGGCAGCUCUCAAAAGCCUGGGCAGGGCCCUGCUCGUGCUGACCAGCAAAUUCCCGAAGGAGAUGGUUAGCAGCCUGCUGGUCUGCUCCCCCACCUGCACCAGGCAGCAAGGACCCUACCUGAGAUACUCCAGCUGCCUCUGGUCCUGA